UACAGAGGGUGCAAGCGUUGUUCGGAAUUAUUGGGCGUAAAGGGAGUGUAGGCGGCUUGUUAAGUCUUCUGUGAAAGCUACGGGCUUAGCCUGUAAAGUGCAGAGGAAACUGGCGAGCUUGAGUGUCGGAGAGGGUAGCGGAAUUCCCGGUGUAGCGGUGAAAUGCGUAGAUAUCUGGAGGAACACCGGUGGCGAAGGCGACAUCCUGGACCGGUAUUGACGCUGAGGCGCGAAAGCCAGGGGAGCAAACGGG
rnacentral:rRNA from 1 species